CGAAACCGGUACACAAAAACAACGGACUCUCUCUCUCCCUUAAAUCAACUCAUAACCUUCUGAAAGAUGAAAUUUGAUAAGAAGGUUAGAGGAUUAGAGAGAAAAUCGCCAUUACUUUAUUUCAACAAUAUAAAAAUAAUUUUAUAGAAAUAUUAUCUACUAAGUCUAUCUUGCCUAUUUGAUAUAUGGUAAAAUAUCCGAUGUGUUGAUUGUUGAUAAAAAUCCUUACAUGCAUCAGAAGAUCGAUAAUGAUUUGGAAAAAUCUUAUGAUCUUCUAUGUUCCUAUCAUAUGUCUUGCUAGCGCAAGUAUUGCAGAAAUAUAAUUUUAGAAUCGCUAUACAAUCUUUUAGAAAAUUUAACUUACUGUUCAUUUAUAAAAGUUAAUAUAUAUAUAUAUAUAUAUUUUAAAUUUUGUAAGAAAUUUAAAAAAUAAAACAAAAGUAAAAGGAUGGUGCCAACCAUUUUCCGGUUACAUCAUGUAUUCCGAGUCCACCCACCCACCUUCUGUGCUUUAUACUAACGUUGUAACAACUACUAACAAAGUUAAAGAGACUUUGUCGGCUUUGGGAUUGAAUUGAAUCACACUCACACAUCACAACUUUAUAAACUGAUGAAUACACCCUUUCACUAAUUAACUAACCAAGAAAAAAAAAAAUGAAGCUUUCAUCACAUAUCAAGAUGAUCUUGGAGUAUUUCGAUACUCAAACAAAAGUCACUGGCCUCGUAAUAGCACUGGUUAUAGUCCUCUUAUGGAUGAGGUCAGGCCCGACGAUGAGGGCUCCGGGAGGAAAUGGUCGUCGUAUUUCCAGGAACUCAUUUCAAAAGAACCCCAAAGGCUACUUCAAGGAUCUGCGCAAGAAGUAAACAUCAGAAGUUCCUAUGCAGGACAAGAGUAACCCUAAACUUCAGAUCUGAAGGAACGGUACGAAUAAUCUUGUUGUGAUCAUAAUGUUGAGUGUGUACGCUAUCCAGGCCUUAGAUCUGGCAUGACCCGGUAGCUUUAGUCAGUCAGAGAUCUCGCUGGACCGUGGUGUUAUGCUUAACCAAACUUAUCUAAAGGCCGCAUGUGCGUCAGCUCAAAAGUUUUAGAACGUUGUUUGCAUACUCAUAUAUUUUGUGUUUCUAUAAUUUAUAUUGUACUCUGAAUAAGCUGUGGACAUAACAAUUUAUUUUUUCGUCUGUUUCCCCAUUAUCUUUUCA